rnacentral:rRNA from 1 species
ACUCCUACGGGAGGCAGCAGUGGGGAAUAUUGCACAAUGGGCGCAAGCCUGAUGCAGCCAUGCCGCGUGUGUGAAGAAGGCCCUUCGGGUUGUAAAGCACUUUCAGUCGUGAGGAAGGUAGUGUAGUUAAUAGCUGCAUUAUUUGACGUUAGCGACAGAAGAAGCACCGGCUAACUCCGUGCCAGCAGCCGCGGUAAUACGGAGGGUGCGAGCGUUAAUCGGAAUUACUGGGCGUAAAGCGCAUGCAGGUGGUUUGUUAAGUCAGAUGUGAAAGCCCGGGGCUCGAACCUCGGAAUAGCAUUUGAAACUGGCAGACUAGAGUACUGUAGAGGGGGUAGGAAA